ensembl:lncRNA
GAGGUAGGAGAAUCACUUGAAUCUGGGAGGUGGAGGUUGUAGUGAGCCCAGAUCAUGCCAUUGCACUCCAGCCUGGGCAACAAGAGUGAAACUCUGUCUCAAAAAAAAAAAAAAAAGAAUUUCAAUUACAGGUGUGCAGUUCACACCGGUAAUACCAGCACUUUGGGAAGCUGAGGCAGGUGGAUUGCUUGAGCCCAGAGUUUGAGAUCAGCCUGAGCGCCAUAGUGAGACCCCCAUCUCUAAAAUAGAAAGAAAGAGAGAGAGAGAGAGAGAGAGAAGAAAAGAAAGAAAGAAAGAAAGAAGGAAGGAAGGAAGGAGAGAGAGAGAGAGAGGGAGGGAGGGAAGGAUGGAAGGAAGGAGAAAGAAAGAGAGAGAGAAGAGAAAGCAAGAAAGCAAGAAAGAAAGAGGAAAGAAAUGUCCCAGCUACUAGGGAGGGUGACAUAGGAGAACUGCUUGAGCCCGGGAAGUUGAGGCUGCAGUGAGCCACAAUUGCGCCACUGCACUCCAGCCUGGACAACAAAACAAGACCCUAUCUCAUUAAAAAAAAAAAAAGAUACUUGAGAUAGGCCUUGAAGUGUGGUUAGGAUUGGUCAGGGGGAGACAGAUACUGAGACACAAAGAAGCUAUUAGCUGAAUUUGUGGAAGUUUAUCAUCCUUAGAGGGUUUUUCUUUGGUAGGGGAGGAAGUAGUUUGCUUUAUUUCAGCUAUUUUUGCUUUAUCCUAAGUGCAAUUGGGCUAAAGGGGGUUAUCUCUUCUGAAGAGAAAGCUUUCUAGUAAGCGGAGUAGGGUUACUUUUCAGUAACAGUAACACUAAGUAUAAAAUAACACAUUCAGAAAUUCAAUUCCACAAAAACAUAUGCCAUGCCUAAUUCGUAUAUGCUCUAUAGAGAGGAUUGCUGGGAGAAGUUGGAGAAUGAGGAAUGCACCAGAAGUCACAGGAUUGUACUGUUUGCAUUUAGCAAAAGGAAGUGAAGACCUUCUGCAGAAUGGUAAGAGUGCAAGACAGACAGAAAGCAAUCAAAUGGAAAUUCAGUUGGAAAGCAAAAGAUGACUCAAAAAACAAGACCCUCAACGGCAGCUUAUUAAUCUGGAUGUAAUUUUGACUCUGCCAAGAUACUGAAGGCUAAACUGAACUAUGAGAUGAGACAUUCUACUCCAUUCCAUCUCAUUUUUGGAAAGAUGAGGUGAGUCACUUGUACAAAAUCACUUGACCAAUUAGUGCCCGAACUAAGACUAGAAAACAGGUCAUUAGAUUCCUCUCUACAAUCUGCCCUAGGAAUUCUAUGGCCAAGUGUUGGUUUGGGGCACCCAGAGGACCCUGUACGAACUUCCUGCAGCCUUAAGCAUGGGGUUGAGGGAUGUGCCGAUUUCUUAGGUGGGGCUGGCGAAGUGUCUACCAUCUGACUUCAUGCAGCAGGAAAACGUCCUCCUUAGAACUAGAAUCCGAACUGCUGCUUCUUUUGAAUUUUGAAUCCCUGCCUUGUCCUCGUAAAGAAAACAGAAGUCAGUGGUGUGUCUCUUCUAUGCUGUGUUAGGUGUAAGCCCAUCACCAAGAAUAAAAAGCUACAGUAGGUGAAGUGGGAUUAAGACAGCCCAGGCAAAUCCGGAGGUUGGGCACUUGCAAUGGGGAACAGAGAAGCAGAAGGGCAAAUGCACUGCCAUCGCUGUGAUAGCUGCCUAAUGCUUCAUCUAUAGGCUUAUCUUUCUGUCUCACCACAGAAGAUCAGUGUCUCCCAGCACAGCGUACAGCCUGUGCCCAGACACUCAAAG